rnacentral:rRNA from 1 species
GACGAACGCUGGCGGCGUGCUUAACACAUGCAAGUUGCGCGAGAAAGCUACCUUCGGGUAGUGAGUAAAGCGGCGAACGGGUGAGUAACGCGUGGGUUACCUGCCUCUAAGUUAGGGAAAACUUCUCGAAAGGGAAGCUAAUACCUAAUAUCUAAAGAUGGCUCUGCUAUCGCUUAGAGAUGGGCCCGCGUCCCAUUAGCUUGUUGGUAGUGUAAUAGACUACCAAAGCUACAAUGGGUAGCCGACCUGAGAGGGUGAUCGGCCACACUGGGACUGAGACACGGCCCAGACUCCUACGGGAGGCUGCAGUGGGGAAUCUUCCGCAAUGAGCGAAAGCUUGACGGAGCAACGCCGCGUGAGUGAUGAAGGCCUUCGGGUCGUAAAGCUCUGUCCUAAGGGAAGAACAUCUCAGUAGAUAAUACCUGCUGGGCUUGACGGUACCUUUGGAGGAAGCCUCGGCUAAUUACGUGCCAGCAGCCGCGGUAAUACGUAAGAGGCAAGCGUUGUCCGGAAUCACUGGGCGUGAAGGGUGCGCAGGCGGUCUAGUAAGUCAAGAGUGAAAUCCAUCGGCUCAACCGGUGAACUGCUUUUGAAACUACUAGACUUGAGAACAGAAGAAGAGAGUGGAAUUCCUGGUGUAGUGGUGAAAUACGUAGAUAUCAGGAAGAAUACCAAUGGCGAAAGCAGCUCUCUAAUCUGAUUCUGACGCUGAGGCACGAAAGCUAGGGUAUCAAACGGGAUUAGAUACCCCGGUAGUCCUAGCUGUAAACGCUGGACACUAGGUGUUGGGGGUUCAACUCCCUCAGUGCUGCAGUUAACGCGUUAAGUGUCCCGCCUGGGGACUACGACCGCAAGGUUGAAACUCAAAGGAANUUGACGGGGGCCCGCACAAGCGGC